rnacentral:rRNA from 1 species
UACGAAGGGGGCUAGCGUUGCUCGGAAUCACUGGGCGUAAAGCGCACGUAGGCGGACUCUUAAGUCGGUGGUGAAAUCCUGGAGCUCAACUCCAGAACUGCCUUCGAUACUGAGAGUCUCGAGUCCGGGAGAGGUGAGUGGAACUGCGAGUGUAGAGGUGAAAUUCGUAGAUAUUCGGAGGAACACCAGUGGCGAAGGCGGCUCACUGGUCCAUUACUGACGCUGAGGUGCGAAAGCGUGGGGAGCAAACAGG